GGAGGGGCUGGCGCCCCUCCCACCCCUGGAAAGCCUUGAAAACCACUGCACCGGAAACGGUGCCGGGGGUUCGAAUCCCUCUCCCUCCGCCA
rnacentral:tRNA from 1 species